UACAGUGGCUUGGUUGGUGAGAAUGCAUGGUUGUGUUCUUAUGUUAAGAUUUUAUAUAAAGAUCAGGUUUCAGUGUAGGAAUCACAUAGUUUUGUUCGCAGAGGAGACAAGGAGCAAUUUAAGGGCCCUAAAGGCAGAUCAAUCAAAGCUGGUCUGUGGAAGUUGAACUGUUAGAAAGGCCAGAAAGGUCAGGGAGCACUGAGAGUUCACCGUUGGCUGCCUGAAGCUGUCUUUCCGUCAUCUUGAAUAGGUCAUUGUCACAGGGAGCUAGAGUCGUGUAUCACAACUUAAUUGGCAGUCUUGGUCCAAAAAUCAAAGCCAGUUAUUUGGAUGAUUCAGAAAUUAAACAUACUGUAGAAUAUCUUGAAGUUUAUUGAGUGAAAAUCAGGUGUGUACAGCUGCGCACAGUACAAUGGAUGACCUGAAAUGACUGCAGCUUGGAUACAUGAGCCACUAAGUACCCCAUAAAGCACCUUCACGCCUCUCCUUCUCUCUCUUUCCUUCUCUCUCUGUCUCACUUUCUACCCCCCCUCUCCAUCUGUCUCUUUCUAUAGCCCUGUCUUACUCUCUCACUCCCCCCUUUCUUUUUUUUUUCUUCAUAGACAGAUGAUAUGCUGUCCUCCUUCCAACACCCUCACAGUAGCAUAUUUCUCUCCCUGGAGCAAGUAACUCUGUCUUCUGCCUGUGUCCACACUCCUGCCCCCUCCCAACAACACAACCCAGGACAAGCAUGGCCUGCAGCUUCGAUGGCCCUCCGUGGAACAAAAACACACGCUGCCUCUCAAAAGCCUCCUUUAUCCGCGGCGAACAAAAAGACGGCUUCACCUCCGCACUGUUCCCACCAUUAGGCCCUGGCCUGGGCCCUUUUUUCUUGUCCCCUCCUCUCUCCCUCCUGCUCACACCCCCACUGGGUCCUUUCAGUAUGGGGCAGUGGGGGUGUGAGGUACGCCCUUUAUGUUCACAUGUGUCCAUGCUGGUUUACUCUGUCAGACUUGCCCCUUUCACAAUAGACGUGCAAAAAGAUUGACCAGCAGCUUUUCACGCAGCCACCCCCAUUCAGCUAUGAAUGAGCAUGGGUGGAAAAACACACCUGCACCUUUAUGUGUGUGAGUUCACAGUUAAUGCUAGAGGGGUAUGUCUGUUCUGGGUGACUUGGAAGUUUGGAAUUAAGCCUGAAAUCGACUCUGAAUCAGGCUGAAACGGGAUAAUCUGCCUGGAUAUGUGUUUGACUGGGCUGAACUUGACCAGACAAAUUCAUUUACAUGAAAGACCACUCACACUGGCACGGGCCUGCAGCUGGAGGGGAUGGUGUACCUGCCUACAUGAUUGCAACAGCAGCCCAUUAUUCUGGACAGCCUUUUGGUUUGCUCAAGGAUGUGAUGUUGUGCUGCCUUUCAAGGCCUGGUCCAUGUACAAUCCGUCAAGGCCACUGAAAAACAAUGCUGAGGAUCAUUACACAGAUAUGUGGGGCCAUAAUCCACUUUUUUGCAUCCAGACAAUUCCAGCACCAUGGAGACACAUGGGUAAUAUGAUGAUGAUGAUGAUGAUGAUGAUGAUGAUGAUGAUGAUGAUGAUGAUGAUGAUACAGUUGAUGUGGGCUUUGAAUUUGAUUAAAAAGAAAGUUCAUUCCCCAUAAAAAAGAUUUGUGGAAAAGUAAAUGCUAGUAUGGGCAAAUUACUUGAAAUAAAGUUCAAUCCCUACUUCA